UACGUAGGUGGCGAGCGUUGUCCGGAAUUACUGGGCGUAAAGGGUGCGCAGGCGGUAAUAUAAGUGGGAUGUGAAAACCCAAGGCUCAACCAUGGGAGUGCAUUCCAAACUGUAUUGCUAGAGUGCAGGAGAGGGAAGCGGAAUUCCUGGUGUAGCGGUGAAAUGCGUAGAUAUCAGGAAGAACACCAGUGGCGAAGGCGGCUUUCUGGACUGUAACUGACGCUGAGGCACGAAAGCGUGGGGAGCAAACAGG
rnacentral:rRNA from 1 species